GAGUAAAUUCCGUAAAUGUAUAUAAACGAUAUUGCGGUUCACAUUUUGCACUUUCGCUCAAUUAACUCAACUAAUUGACAUUUGAAAAUACAUGCGGUGAAAGGAAGUACAUAUGUACACAUGUAUGUACAUGUGGGUCCGUAAAGGACAACAGCAGGAGAUAAUUAUAAGUGCAGGAAUUUUAAUUCAACCUUCAACCUCAGCCUUUGCAUGGCUCUGGAGCUCGAAAGUGAUUUACAAAAGAAGCACUUUAGUCGGAAACAUAAACAUUCAUUCCCCACCUCUUCACAGCACUUGACCAGAAACAACAGCAACAACAAAAAUCACAAUUAUAAAGGGAGUCAGGGCGAGGCAUACACUGUCAAAAAACAAUAUACGAGAAUAAAUAAUUAAACCCAUUUUUAUAUACGUUUCUCCCGAUAUUAUUCUCUAAAUUGAAAGAAAACAACAGGUAUAUAUUUUCAUUAGCUUUGAACUGAAAACCUUUUAAGAUAAGCCGAAGUUGACUUUUUCGGUAUUUUUCGUUAUUUUUAUAGUCCUGUUUGCCUUUAGUAUUUUCUCCUAUAAGAAAGAUGAUUCUUGUUCAUCGCCUAUAAUCGUACAGCAAAGAAAAACAUAAACAACAUUUUCUUACCUUCUUCCUGGUUCUUCCACUUUUGCUGCAUUCUCUCUUUCUGUUCUUUCCUUGCCGUUUCCAUUCUGUCGUUAUAUUCACACACAAACACACACAAAAGCACUAUUA